CCUACGGGUGGCUGCAGUGGGGAAUAUUGCACAAUGGGCGCAAGCCUGAUGCAGCCAUGCCGCGUGUGUGAAGAAGGCCUUCGGGUUGUAAAGCACUUUCAGCGGGGAGGAAGGCGGUGAGGUUAAUAACCUCAUCGAUUGACGUUACCCGCAGAAGAAGCACCGGCUAACUCCGUGCCAGCAGCCGCGGUAAUACGGAGGGUGCAAGCGUUAAUCGGAAUUACUGGGCGUAAAGCGCACGCAGGCGGUCUGCCAAGUCGGAUGUGAAAUCCCCGGGCUCAACCUGGGAACUGCAUUCGAAACUGGCAGGUUAGAGUCUUGUAGAGGGGGGUAGAAUUCCAGGUGUAGCGGUGAAAUGCGUAGAGAUCUGGAGGAAUACCGGUGGCGAAGGCGGCCCCCUGGACAAAGACUGACGCUCAGGUGCGAAAGCGUGGGGAGCAAACAGGAUUAGAUACCCGGGUAGUC
rnacentral:rRNA from 1 species